rnacentral:lncRNA from 1 species
UUGUGCUGAUAAUAAUUAAGCUUCUGCAGAAAGAGUUAAAAAUUACUUAGGAGCAUGCUUGUAGUCAAGAGGCAGGGAAAAGAAGAGAGGGAAAAAGGAACAAGUUGGAGCAGUUGAGGUGAAUAUUUUUAUCUCCUAUAUAUUUGUUAUUUGUAUGCAAAAGCAGAUUUUAAGUUAUCUCCUUUUUAAGAGGAUCUCUCAAUUCCUAUUGUCUAAAGUAAAACUUUGAGCAUUAGAGAGUAAUGAAUGAUAUACUUAUUGAUUCAGCUUGCUGAUAUAGAAAAUUUUUAUAAAAAAGUGGUUUUUCUUUAUUAAGGUGUUUCAUUUCUAGAAAAUAAAUAAUGAUUUUUCUUACACAAAAAAAAGAGAAAACACUAAAGGUAAAAGCUAGUUAAGAAACCAGAAAAGGUCAUGUGGACUAUUACUUUGACAUUAGCCACUAAUGGGUCCUUCAUUGUGGACAAAUGGGUACAACCAUGAUCACAUUUAAUUAAAGGCACUUUACAUGAUUCGAUUCCUGAUGAGUGAAUAGAAGUAGAACAAGUUAGGAAAGGAAAAACUGAGCUACUUUAAUAGAAUCUGAUGCUUCUUCUAAUUUACCUACUUCCUUUCUCAUUAUAUGUCCCUUGAACCAAUAAUGGACCCUCAAAUAAAAGGUUCCAAAUGAACAUGCAUCACCAUUCAAGUAGUAAAUUAGUGCUGUAAUAAGUUCUUAAAUGGGAACAUGCUUUAGUUGCUAUUUGAGCUAAGCCUAGGCUAGCUAGCUGGUAAUCCCAAUGUUGUGAGCAAAUGCAACAAACGUGGUUUAAUAGAAAAUAUUAUACAUGAUGGAUGGUUGUUAUUAACUUAAUGGUCUAUUUCUCUUGAAUUAGAAUAGAUAAGUUGCCACCACCAUCAUCAUCAUCAUCAUCAUCGCGGAUGUAUACACUAUCCUUUUCUUUAUACCUUUUUAGGGUUAAAAGAAUGCAUGCUUAAUGCAUUAAUUGUUACACAUCUGAAAAUAUUGGAGAAAUAUCGACCAUACUUAACAUAGUUGAUUAAAAACUUAAUAAUUAAUAUCCGAAUUUUCAAAUUUAAAGCAUAAUUGUUGUAUAUUUCUAUCUGAGGUUAUUUCUGAAAAAAAUGGACGAAUCAGACAGCAUGUUUCCUUUUUCUCAGAAAAAGAGAAGAAAAUAUAUGUCAGAGGAAUGUAUGAAUAUAUUCAUAACAUCAGCAACAAAAAUUUCAUAAUAUACGACACCUUAUAAAUGUCAGAGGCAUAAACGGAUGCUUCCUCAGAAACCAAAUAAUCUGGAUAAUUUUUUAUUUUUAAACAGUACUUUUAAAAAAGUCGCACAACUUAUGCCUUAGCUUUUUCUUCAACAAUUUACACCAAAUUAAGCAAUCAAUUCUGACAUAUAUUGCGCAUUGCAUGAUGAUAAGAAAUUCAUUAUAUGCUGUCACAGCAUGACUAGGAGAAAUUAUACACUGAUUUCCCUAUUCAGAGGCGAAAUCAAAUAAAAGGGGACCAUGAGAUUAUGCUACUUAAAACUUGAGGACACCUCAGUGAUUGACUGGCUGAUACAAACUGUUUCAGGUACAAUUUGCACAAAAAGAAAUAUAGGGUGGGAAAUUGAAAUUUUCAUAUUUGAACUUCCAAAAUGUGCAAAUUCGUUCUAAUUCCAUAGAACUCACCCACUAUAUUUGUUCCUCAAGGAACUUAUCCACUAUCGGAAGUUAGCAAUGAGUUCUUCAAUUAGUUCAUCACAUAACAUGCUCGCCAUAUCUCUUCCGACAAUCUCAACACCACCUUCAGAAUCCAACCACUCUAAUUCCAAAACUUUCCCCUCCUUGCAGCAUCCUAUAUCCCUCCUUCGACUAACGACUCUUUGCCACACCUCUUCCACAAGACCCUCUCGGUCCCAUUUGGGCGCAUGCCACUUAGAAACCCCGCGCGAGACGAGAUCCAAUUUUGAGGAAACCACAUCAGCAAGAAUAGUAUUUAUUAGAUCGAAUAACAGCUUCCUCUCUGAUCUUGACCACAAAAUAAGCCCACUGUACUUCUUUUCAAGCUUGCCGAAGACACCUGGUCCCAGUGGGGAGUCCAGCAAGUAGCAUGAACUGAGUUGCCCAUCCUGGUUUGUAAGGUGGACAUUCAAAUCUAUAAGCAUGUCGAGUAGGUAAGAGAAGUCUCUCUCCUCUUCAUUUCGGAAAGUUUGAAUGAUCUCUCCUGUUGGACACAGAGGCUGACUCUCUCCCACACUCUCCUCAUCGCUUACUAUAAAAAGCUCUGAUUCUUCUGCAUAAGUGUCUGCAGACUCAAGCUUGAGAAGUUGAAGUUGCAUUCGGAGCUCUGUGAUGAAAAAUAUCAUGUUAGGUUGUAAUUUUCAGCCUAAGUUGCUGUAGAGUACAGAGCAUUAUCGUAAAAUAAUUUCAUAGUAUGAAUCGCUUGCCUUGAAGAUCAGUGCUAAUUCUCUCGAAGCAGGCUGAAGAAGAAUUUUCUUCUUCUAAAGAAGUGUCUAGAACAGAUACUGGACUUGGUUCACCUUCGUUGGAGCUUACCGGUGAUGCUGGUUGCGGCGCCUUGAAUGGGGAUAGUAUGGGGUCAACCAGAGGGUGAUCAACUCUCUCUUCCUGAAGGCAUAUAAUUGACUCUUGAGAAGUGGAACAAGAUGAGAUAUCAAAAGGGACCAAAGAAAAAAAGAAAAAAAGCAACGCAAGAAGAUAAAGCAGGAAGAGAUGGAAAAAGUCGUAGUUGAGCUAGAAACAAGGCCAAUCAAAACUAACAUUACUCUGCAUGAAACACUAAAAAAGAAUGAACAAGAUGAAUGUUAUAUGGAACAGAAAGUUCAAACUGCAGCAUUAAUGCGAACGCACAUCUAGUACCAAGCCAUCCAGAUCAGAAGUAAUAAUGUUCUCAUCCCCCACAACUAUUGCUGAUCCAAGCUGUUGCUGCACCUGUUUUGCUUGUGUGGUCAACAUGCAGGUUCCAUCUUGACAUUCAGUAACCAAAGAAAUGUCAACAAGCUGCUGAUCUCCUUCCCUUAAGGCAUCGAUAGAGAGUGUGGGAUGCAUGAAUUCCUGUCGAGAAAGAUUUUUCACAUGAAUACUUUUCCUCAAUUCUUCAGAGCUCACAUGAAUCUCCCGUUCAGGCAACAAAAUUUCAUCUUCAGCCGCGCUACCCAAACAAGCUUUGUCAAAAUGAUACAUUGAACUUCUUAUUUCUGAUCUUCCUUGUUUAAUAAAGCUACCAUCAGCAAAAUCAUCAAGAUUAAUAUUGGGUAAGUUUUCAACUACACGAUAAUCCCUAAGUUGGCCACUUUCUUUUCUUUUCCUGCAUUCUGGACUCCUUCGACUGCUUGAUGAAGCUGGAAGAGACUUCGAAAUUGGUGAACCGAUCAAGUUGCCAUCCUUCCAACCAUCCUUACUGGUAGGACCAGCAGAGGAAGCCCGUGUCUGAUUUGAAGCUUUCAUAGCCUUCUGCACAUCCCUAUCAGGUAAAGCGAGCAUAUCAGCUAGCGUGCUUGAGCCUCUAGCAAGAGUCUUUGCAUCUUGGAAUUGGUGGGUCAUCUUCCAUCUUUCAGACAAGCGCUUUCUAGCUUCUCUGCUAACUGAUGAUGCACUUGAAUAUGUUGAAGACGGGCUGAGUCUCGGGUUCCAAUCAUCAUGCAAGUCACUAGAUCUCUGAAACACGUCUGGAUUGUCGAUCAUAUCCAUGUGAGGCAAAAUCUGUGAUACCUUUUUAGCACCACCACGGUGUACGGUUUUUCUCAUUUGCUUUGUGAUCUCUCUUGCAAUUUCUCUCGAGCCCCUUGCUUUGGGCCCCAGAGCUAAUUCGAAACCGUCAGACAAAUCUGGCCGAAUAGUUCCUUCUGAAAACAAUUCCUGAGCCCCAGGACAUGAGAAGUGCAUGGGCCUUCUGUAGCCAGAUUGAAAGAUCUCGUGGGUUAAUGGAAUAGCUCCUUCCAUAUUUUGAGCUUUCUCAAGGCUAGGUUUCAACACAACAAUCCGAGUUGGAUGACUGUGAGCUCCAAUUUUUUCCUCAUAAGUUGAUUUUGGCAAUUUACAUGUUUGAGAACCAGAGAGCUCACUAAAACAGUCACUUUCGGGUCUAAUUGCAGGCUUUCUACAAAGGUUCCUAAAUUCUUUUGGGUUUUCUCUCAAUAUCUCAGUAUCUCUUCCUAAUUUAGAAAGCAUUGCUGGCUUUGAAGACUUCAUACAUCUAGAUGGUUUCAGAAUUGUGAUGUGGCUUGCCUGGGGGGGAGGAGAGCAAUUUAGAUCGUGGAGGUGCUUCGUGAAUAAAGAGUUCGGUUCAUCGAGAAAGUCCAAUAAAAGAUCCUUAUUAGAUUCCAGUACUUCAAUUGCAUCGUCAAACUCUUUAGAGCUUUGUUCAUCAGUAGAGAGACGCUUUGCAUCCAUAAAUUUUUGCCUUAUAAAGUCCACGUCAGUCUCCUUAUGUCUAGAGCUCACUCUCCCUUUUCUAUUUUUCUGAUUCUUGCAGGCCUUCAACUCUGAUGAUUCCAUUACUUCAAAAACAUCUUUUAACUCUGGGAGUUCAUCAGUGCUUCUUCUGCGAGAAAGAUCUUCAGAGAAAACAUGCCUCUCUUCAGAACCUACAGAUGAUGGCGAG